GCGGGUAUGGCGGAACUGGUAGACGCGCAGGAUUUAGGUUCCUGUGGGGAGACUCGUGGGGGUUCAAGUCCCUCUACCCGCACCA
rnacentral:tRNA from 1 species